rnacentral:lncRNA from 1 species
GACAGUGCGGGGCUCGCAACCCUAGCGUGGGGAGUUCGAUUCCUGGUUGGAGCAGCUGAGUGUUGUAAUAACCAGAGGAAGGGUUGGAGCAGCUUGGUGAUGUAAUAACCAUGGAGGAGGCUCCCUUGGGGCCAGGAGUAUAAAAGCUGUUCGAACCCUGGUCAACUUGGGCACAUCCCGCGAUUUACCUCCCUGAGCUGCUGAGGGGCCGGAAGUUCAGGGACGAGGAUAUAGUCUGGCGUAAGCUGGGACACCUCGUUAAAAAAAAAAAAAAAAAAAAAAA